GUCCUUGCCUUAAACGAUGCAUACUAGGAGUAGGAGGGCUCAACCCCCUCUGUUCAGGAGCUAACGCGUUAAGUAUGCCGCCUGGGGAGUACGCUCGCAAGGGUGAAACUCAAAAGAAUUGACGGGGGCCCGCACAAGCAGUGGAGCAUGUGGUUUAAUUCGAUGCAACGCGAAGAACCUUACCUGGGCUCGAAAUGUAGAGGACGAUAUCAGAGAUGAUAUUUCUCGAAAGGGUCUUUACAUAGGUGCUGCAUGGCUGUCGU
rnacentral:rRNA from 1 species